rnacentral:rRNA from 1 species
ACUCCUACGGGAGGGCAGCAGUAGGGAAGUCUUCCACAAUGGGCGCGAAGCCUGAUGGAGCAACACCGCGUGAGUGAAGAAGGGUUUACGGCUCGUAAAGCUCUGUUGUUAAAGAAGAACACGUAUGAGAGUAACUGUUCAUACGUUGACGGUAUUUAACCAGAAAGUCACGGCUAACUACGUGCCAGCAGCCGCGGUAAUACGUAGGUGGCAAGCGUUAUCCGGAUUUAUUGGGCGUAAAGAGAGUGCAGGCGGUUUUCUAAGUCUGAUGUGAAAGCCUUCGGCUUAACCGGGAGAAGUGCAUCGGAAACUGGAUAACUUGAGUGCAGAAGAGGGUAGUGGAACUCCAUGUGUAGCGGUGGAAUGCGUAGAUAUAUGGAAGAACACCAGUGGCGAAGGCGGCUACCUGGUCUGCAACUGACGCUGAGACUCGAAAGCAU